rnacentral:lncRNA from 1 species
CAAAACAAAAAACACCUGAAAAGCAUCUCAGUGAGGGAUUGUUUACACUGGAUUGGCUGUAGGCAUGUUUGUGGGUGGUUUUAGUUAACUGAUGUAAGAGACCCAGUCCCCUGUGGGUGGCACUAUUCCCUAGGCAGGAGGUCCUGAUUGUAUAAAGUGGGGGUUUUGGCACUAGAUGUAUAAAGGGAGGACAUGACCACUGCAAGCAGCCCAACAAAACCUGGAGGCAGUCCAGCGUGAGUGGAGGCAGGUGGAUUGGAGGAGGGCACGAAGGUGACAUAUUUGCAUUUCCCUGGUGACAGGUGCUGCUGGUCAUCUCUUCAUGUGCUUACUGGCCA